GAUUACCCCUUGUACCUUUUGCAUAAUGAAUUAACUAGUAUAAGACUUAACAAAAUGAAUUUUAGCUAAGCAGCCCGAAACCAGACGAGCUACUCACAAACAGUUUACCAAGAACUAACUCAUCUAUGUGGCAAAAUAGUGAGAAGAUUUGUAAGUAGAGGUGACAUGCCUAACGAGCCUGGUGAUAGCUGGUUGUCCUNGAAAAUGAAUCUAAGUUCAGCUUUAAAGAUACCAAAAAUUCAAAUAAACCCCACUGUAGCUUUAAAAGUUAGUCUAAAAAGGUACAGCCUUUUAGAAACGGAUACAACCUUGACUAGAGAGUAAAAUUUAACACUACCAUAGUAGGCCUAAAAGCAGCCAUCAAUUAAGAAAGCGUUAAAGCUCAACAACAAAAAUUAAAUAGAUUCCAACAACAAAUGAUUAACUCCUAGCCCCAAUACUGGACUAAUCUAUUAUAGAAUAGAAGCAAUAAUGUUAAUAUGAGUAAACAAGAAACAAUUUUCUCCUUGCAUAAAGUCUAAGUCAGUGCCUGAUAAAUACUCUGACCACUAACAGUCAAUAAAAAAUAAUCCAACAAUAAACAAUUUUAUGUGAUUAUACUGUUAACCCAACACAGGAGUGCCUCUAAG
rnacentral:rRNA from 1 species